rnacentral:lncRNA from 1 species
ACAUUCAUGACUAAGUUCAAAUUCUUUUCUAAAUGAAGUCCGUUUUGUUAUGCCUUGCUACACUGAUAGCGUUAGCAUGACAUAGCAGACAGCACUAGUUUUCUACAACUUAAUGUAUUAAAGAUUUUGAGAAAAUGCUUGGGGAAGUUGUGAGGUGGGAAAGCACUUUUUUAUCUCUCAGAAUGAUGUAUAAUUGAUCUAUCAUGUGAAACUAUCUUGACUUGUCAUGCUUUGAUUAUAAGGAGCCCUUUACUUAUUUUUCAAGGCAGAAUUGGUACCCCUGUUUGGUUAUCCUAAAACUUGAGAGGAGAGAAGCUGAAAAAGGAGGUAUUAUUCUUGUUGACAAAUGAGAUAAGUCAUUAACCAUUAACAUCCUUGUUGACAAAUGAAAAAAUGAGAUGGUUGUUAUGGGUUAACAUAAUAUUCUAAGCUGGAAAGAUCUGCCAGUGCUAAUAUGUUGCAGGGCUUGGUUAACCUAAAACUUGAGAGGAGAGAAGCUGAAAAAGGAGGUAUUAUUCUUGCAUGAAUAGGGUCUUCAGGAAGUGAGAUAAGUCAUUAACCUUUAAUAUCCUUGUUGACAACAUGAAAAAAUGAGAUGGUUGUUAUGGGUUAACAUAAUAUUCUAAGCUGGAAAGAUCUGCCAGUGCUAAUAUGUUGCAG